rnacentral:rRNA from 1 species
GACGAACGCUGGCGGCGUGCCUAAUACAUGCAAGUCGAACGGAGCGGCGGACGGGUGAGUAAUACCUAGGAAUCUGCCUGGUAGUGGGGGAUAACGUCCGGAAACGGGCGCUAAUACCGCAUACUAUCAGAUGAGCCUAGGUCGGAUUAGCUAGUUGGUGGGGUAAAGGCCUACCAAGGCGACGAUCCGUAACUGGUCUGAGAGGAGGUGCAGUAACACUGGAACUGAGACACGGACCAGACGCCUACGGGAGGCAGCAGUGGGGAAUAUUGGACAAUGGGCGAAAGCGUGAUCCAGCAAUGCCGCGUGUGUGAAGAAGGUCUUCGGAUUGUAAAGCACUUUAAGUUGGGAGGCGUUACCAACAGAAUAAGUACCGGCUAACUUCGUGCAAGCAGCCGCGGUAAUUC